rnacentral:rRNA from 1 species
UACGUAGGGACCAAGCGUUGUUCGGAUUUACUGGGCGUAAAGGGCGCGUAGGCGGCGUGACAAGUCACUUGUGAAAUCUCUGGGCUUAACCCAGAACGGCCAAGUGAAACUGUUGUGCUAGAGUGCAGAAGGGGCAAUCGGAAUUCUCGGUGUAGCGGUGAAAUGCGUAGAUAUCGAGAGGAACACCAGAGGUGAAGACGGGUUGCUGGGCUGACACUGACGGCUGAGGCGCGAAAGCCAGGGGAGCAAACGGG